rnacentral:rRNA from 1 species
AUUGAACGCUGGCGGCAGGCUUAACACAUGCAAGUCGAGCGGAGAGAAGUAGCUUGCUACUGAUCUUAGCGGCGGACGGGUGAGUAAUGCUUAGGAAUCUGCCUAUUAGUGGGGGACAACAUUUCGAAAGGGAUGCUAAUACCGCAUACGUCCUACGGGAGAAAGCAGGGGAUCUUCGGACCUUGCGCUAAUAGAUGAGCCUAAGUCGGAUUAGCUAGUUGGUGGGGUAAAGGCCUACCAAGGCGACGAUCUGUAGCGGGUCUGAGAGGAUGAUCCGCCACACUGGGACUGAGACACGGCCCAGACUCCUAAGGGAGGCAGCAGUGGGGAAUAUUGGACAAUGGGCGCAAGCCUGAUCCAGCCAUGCCGCGUGUGUGAAGAAGGCCUUAUGGUUGUAAAGCACUUUAAGCGAGGAGGAGGCUACUUUAGUUAAUACCUAGAGAUAGUGGACGUUACUCGCAGAAUAAGCACCGGCUAACUCUGUGCCAGCAGCCGCAGUAACAC